GGCUCAGGACGAACGCUGGCGGCGUGCCUAAUACAUGCAAGUAGAACGCUGAGGACUGGUGCUUGCACUGGUCUAAGGAGUUGCGAACGGGUGAGUAACGCGUAGGUAACCUACCUCAUAGCGGGGGAUAACUAUUGGAAACGAUAGCUAAUACCGCAUGACAAUAGGGUACACAUGUACCUAAUUUAAAAGGGGCAAAUGCUUCACUAUGAGAUGGACCUGCGUUGUAUUAGCUAGUUGGUAAGGUAACGGCUUACCAAGGCGACGAUACAUAGCCGACCUGAGAGGGUGAUCGGCCACACUGGGACUGAGACACGGCCCAGACUCCUACGGGAGGCAGCAGUAGGGAAUCUUCGGCAAUGGGGGGAACCCUGACCGAGCAACGCCGCGUGAGUGAAGAAGGUUUUCGGAUCGUAAAGCUCUGUU
rnacentral:rRNA from 1 species